UGCCGUGCCCUGACCUCUCGCUCACUGA
rnacentral:piRNA from 1 species